rnacentral:rRNA from 1 species
GACGAACGCUGGCGGCGUGCCUAAUACAUGCAAGUCGGACGCAAGGAAACACACUGUUCUUGCACACCGUGUUUUCUUGUGUCGCGAACGCGUGAGUAACGCGUAAGUUACCUGCCUAUUAGCCUGGGACAACUAUUUGAAACGAUAGCUAAUACCUCAUAAUAUUAAUUAUUGCCUGAUAAUUGAUUGUAAGUUGCAAGCUAAUCGCUAGUCGAUGGACCUACGUUGUAUUAGCUAGUUGGUAAGGUAAGAGCUUACCAAGGCGACGAUACAUAGCCGAACUGGGAGGGUGAGCUGCCACACUGGGACGGAGAGACGGACCAGACGACUACGGGAGGCAGCAGGAGGGAAUCUUCGGAAAAGGCCGAAAGUCUGACCGAGGAACGACGCGUGAGUGAAGAAGGUUGUCGGAUCGUAAGGAUCUGUUGUAAGUCAAGAACGUGUGUGAGAGUGAAAAGUGCACACAGUGACGGUAGCUUACGAGAAAGGGACGGCUAACUACGUG